rnacentral:misc_RNA from 1 species
ACUGCUUCUGAAGCGGAAGAGGCUUCCCUGUCUUCGUCAGAGGGGCCAAGUGGCAGGGAAAAAUCGCGAUCACCAGUGAAUAACAUUGAAUCUAGUUCCACAUGUGGGAUUGUAAGAGAAGAUAGUCCUGAAAAAGUGUCACCUGGUUGGGGUCCUAAUAAAAUUCCAAGACUUGGUAAUACCUCUACUAAUAAUAAACCUGCUGAUCAAGCUACUGAGGCUACUAUGAGAAAGGCUCGGGUCUCGGUCAGGGCUCG